GCCCGGCUGGCACAAUUGGUUAGCGCGUGAGACUUUUAGUGGUGUUCUGUGCCAAGUACGGAGAACCCUGGCAAUCUCAAGGUUGAGAGUUCGAGCCUCUCGUCGGGCG
rnacentral:tRNA from 1 species